GACGAACGCUGGCGGCGUGCUUAACACAUGCAAGUCGAACGAAGUGGCGAACGGGUGAGUAACGCGUAAUCAACCUGCCCUUCAGAGGGGGACAACAGUUGGAAACGACUGCUAAUACCGCAUACUGAAGGAGGGGAUUGCGUCGGAUUAGCUAGUUGGAGGGGUAACGGCCCACCAAGGCGAUGAUCAGGAGCCUGGCUGGAAGGAGGAACGGCCACAUUGGGACUGAGACACGGGCCAGACUUCUACGGGAGGCAGCAGUGGGGGAUUUUUCGCAAUGGGGGAAAGUCUUACGGCGCACCGCCGCGUGAGUGAUGACAGCCUUCGGGUUUGAAAGCUCCGUUAAUCGGGACGCGGUACCGGAAUAGAAAGCAACGGCUAACUACGUGCCAGCAGCCGCGGUAAUUC
rnacentral:rRNA from 1 species